GAUGAAGAAACGUAGCGAAAUGCGAUAAGUAGUGUGAAUUGCAGAAUUCAGUGAAUCAUCGAAUCUUUGAACGCACAUUGCGCCCCAUGGUAUUCCGUGGGGCAUGCCUGUUCGAGCGUCAUUUACCCCCUCAAGCUCCGCUUGGUGUUGGGCGUCUGUCCCGCUUCGCGCGCGGACUCGCCCCAAAGGUAUUGGCAGCGGUCGUGCCAGCUUCUCGCGCAGCACAUUGCGCUUCUCGAGGCACCGGCGGGCCCGCGUCCAUCAAGCUCCACCCCCCCAGUUUGACCUCGGAUCAGGUAGGGAUACCCGCUGAACUUAAGCAUAUCAAUAAGCGGAGGA
rnacentral:misc_RNA from 1 species